AAAGGCAUAGCUCAAUUGGCAGAGUGUCUGUUUUGCAAGCACAAGACUCUGAGUUCAAUCCCCAGUACUCUUC
rnacentral:tRNA from 1 species